GAGAUGUUGGGUUAAGUCCCGUAACGAGCGCAACCCUUGUCCUUAGUUACCAGCACGUUAUGGUGGGCACUCUAAGGAGGACUGCCGGUGGACAAACCGGAGGAAGGUGGGGAGUGACGUCAAGUCAUCAUGGCCCUUACGGCCUGGGCUACACACGUGCUACAAUGGUCGGUACAAAGGGUUGCCAAGCCGCGAGGUGGAGCUAAUCCCAUAAAACCGAUCGUAGUCCGGAUCGCAGUCUGCAACUCGACUGCGUGAAGUCGGAAUCGCUAGUAAUCGUGAAUCAGAAUGUCACGGUGAAUACGUUCCCGGGCCUU
rnacentral:rRNA from 1 species